rnacentral:lncRNA from 1 species
AGGGCUAUGGCUGAUUCCACAGCCAGAAGAUCUCACUCUGAGCCAUCUCACUGUCCCCUACAGCCCUGCAUGACCCCCUUCUAAGUGCCCAUUCAUAAUUCUCUGCACUAAGAAUGCCCAUGGGGAGCCUCAGCACCCUCUCAUGGAGCAACCUGACCUACUGCUAUUUCAUUCUUGAAAUUUCCUUUCCCUCCUUCUCUCUUUCCACGGGCUUCCUGACCUCUUUUCUUCAUCCGAUAGACUUGCUUCCAGCCUCAGUGAACAGCCUGUGUAGUUUUCCUCUCUGGCAAUAUCCUCUGAGCCUGCCUUGGCCAACGGGAUGGCCUUUGGAACUGGCCCCUGGACUCCUCACCCCAGCUUUGAUUAGGAAACAGUAGCACCCCGUGUGUGAUCCUGUCCCAUGGCUGGGACAGGGGCUUCAGGUCGGCUCAUACCCACUCCUCAUCAAUUAUGGACCAGUUCACAGCAGCCCUGGGUGUCCAUGGGGUCUGCAGAGAGGGAGGAGACCACUUACUUCAGAAGUCAGGACUUAAGAGCCGGCUGCCAGUCUUCGCCAUGGAGCUGCUGGCUCUGUGGUAGAAGUCCUGACCCAGCCUUCCAAGUCAUAUUCCUGGCAUGCUUCCCAGAAAACUGGUAAGCAUUCCAGAAUCUCUUUAUUUUCUAUAAUG